rnacentral:tRNA from 2 species
GGCCGAGUGGCGGAAUGGCAGACGCUGGGGACUUAAAAUCCCCUACUCGCAAGGGUGUGUGGGUUCGAAUCCCACCUCGGCCA